UACGUAGGUGGCUAGCGUUGUCCGGAAUCACUGGGCGUAAAGGGCGCGUAGGCGGCGCGGGUAGUCAUCGGUGAAAGUUCAGGCUCAACUCUGAAUCGGCCGGUGAUACUCCCGUGCUCGAGCACUGUAGAGGCAGGUGGAAUCCGGGUGUAGCGGUGGAAUGCGUAGAGAUCCGGAAGAACACCGGUGGCGAAGGCGGUCCUGCU
rnacentral:rRNA from 1 species